UCGCUCCUACUGAUUGAGUGGUCCGGUAAAUAAUUUGGAUUGCGGCAGUGUUCAUUUCGCGAGCGCGGCUGUACAAAGUUUGGUGAACCUUAUCACUUAGAGGAAGGAG
rnacentral:rRNA from 1 species